rnacentral:rRNA from 1 species
CUACGGGCUGCAGCAGUGGGGAAUAUUGCACAAUGGAGGAAACUCUGAUGCAGCAACGCCGCGUGGAGGAUGACACUUUUCGGAGCGUAAACUCCUUUUAUAUAGGAAGAAGAUGACGGUACUAUAUGAAUAAGCGCCGGCUAACUCCGUGCCAGCAGCCGCGGUAAUACGGAGGGCGCAAGCGUUACUCGGAAUCACUGGGCGUAAAGAGCGUGUAGGCGGAUUAAAAAGUCAGAAGUGAAAUCCUAUAGCUUAACUAUAGAACUGCUUCUGAAACUCUUAAUCUAGAAUAUGGGAGAGGUAGAUGGAAUUUCUGGUGUAGGGGUAAAAUCCGUAGAGAUCAGAAGGAAUACCGAUUGCGAAGGCGAUCUACUAGAACAUUACUGACGCUCAGAUGCGAAAGCGUGGGGAGCAAACAGGAUUAGAUACCCUUGUAGUC